rnacentral:rRNA from 1 species
CCUACGGGUGGCAGCAGUGAGGAAUAUUGGUCAAUGGACGAGAGUCUGAACCAGCCAAGUAGCGUGAAGGAUGACUGCCCUAUGGGUUGUAAACUUCUUUUAUAAAGGAAUAAAACGAGGCACGUGUGCCUUUUUGCAUGUACUUUAUGAAUAAGGAUCGGCUAACUCCGUGCCAGCAGCCGCGGUAAUACGGAGGAUCCGAGCGUUAUCCGGAUUUAUUUGGUUUAAAGGGAGCGUAGAUGGGUUGGUAAGUCAGGUGUGAAAGUUUGCGGCGCAACCGUAAAAUUGCAAUUGAUACUGGCAGUCUUGAGUACAGUUGAGGUAGGCGGAAUUCGUGGUGUAGCGGUGAAAUGCUUAGAUAUCACGAAGAACCCCGAUUGCGAAGGCAGCUUACUAAACUGUGACUGACAUUGAUGCUCGAAAGUGUGGGUAUCAAACAGGAUUAGAUACCCCAGUAGUC